GGAGAGGUGUCCGAGCGGUCGAAGGAGCACGCCUGGAAAGUGUGUAUACGUUAAUAGCGUAUCGAGGGUUCGAAUCCCUCUCUCUCCGCCA
rnacentral:tRNA from 1 species